CGUCUGCGUCGCCUGCUUGCCUCGGCGUGCUCAAGACAGACGCGCGAAGAGAGGGCGUGCAGUGGGGGCAGACAGGCAUCAUUGAUGGGCGUGCGCGCCGUGCGGCCGGUCAGUCCAGGCAGCCACCAAUGGCUGAGGUACGUACCGUUUGAAUAUUCCAUGGAUCCGGAUAAAAAUGUCUUAAAAUUCCAUAAUCUCGUCCAAACACGUUAGAAUUUUAGCACACGGAUACAGAAUCCAAGGAACAUCAGAGAUCAUUUUUUUUAUCCAGAAUCUGUAUUUUAGAAUCGAUCCAAACAUGCCCUAGCUCUGCUGCGGCACACAAGCUGGCAGGAAUGCUAAAAUGAUCCGCUGACGUCGGCUGCAGUUCCUCCGCUCCAUUUACCGGAGCGAUCUGGGGGGUGGGGGAGCGGCGGAGCCAGGAGCUAGCCAGCUGAUUGGUGAGCCUCCCGUACGGCCGUAAUAUCACAUAUAUAUCAGUUUGAGUGUUGUGUGUUGAUAGAGUGGAUUACAAGGAACUGGCCAUCGUCAGUGAACUCGAGCCGCAGCUCGCCAUCAUCGAAACCGGAGUAAACCAAGACGAGAUUCAGUUGUGCUGAGGUCUGCAUAGAAGUAUAAAGAGGCAAGGACGAAAAGGGAACCGAAGACGAACCAGUUACCAAGGGAGAGACAUGGAGCACAGGGUGAACAGUGG
rnacentral:lncRNA from 7 species